GAAGAUUUUUUUGCUGACCGUAGAAUGUUUAUCAACUCAGUGACAGUGCUAAUGAGAGGUGAAGGAGGGGAACAGUUUACAGUGCAGGAGAUCUAUAGAUUGAAGAAACUUGUUUCCAAACUGAAAUUAGAACUACAAACUGAAGAUGGCUUUGAAACCACAUAGUCUUUUUGAAAUCACAUAGUCGAUUUUAAUUUUACAGAGAAUUAUAGAGUAGACAGAAAUCACAUUGAACCUCAUACUGCUUCAAGUCGGGUUUUAAAUGAAUUAAUUGAGACUCACAGUUUGUGUGAUGUAUGGAGGGAGCUAAAUAAUAAUGUAAGACAAUACACAUGGGUACAUAACAGAGAAAACUUUAUUUCCUUGGCCAGGUUGGACAGGUUCUAUUGUUUUAGGCAUCAUUUUAAUGUUGUGAAAAGUUGUUUUAUUACACCAACUGGUUUUUCUGAUCAUUGUUUAGUACCAUGUAAUGUAUAUAUAGGAAAUGUGGAGUCAAAGAGUGCAUAUUGGCAUUUUAACACCUACCUGUUAAGUGAUGUGAAUUUUAGAGAUGUUUUUAUUUCCUUCUGGAAUAAUUUUAAACUAAGAAAGUGUUAUUUUAAAAAUUUGUGUGAGUGGUGGAAAGAUCGAGGUGAAAGUAUUUUGUCAACAGUAUACUUUCAGGUUGGUCUUGGUUUUGAGUGUUCUUGAGUGGUUUUUGAGUGUUUCCGAGAUUUUUUUGAGUGGUUUGGUUAGGUUUUGGGUGGUUUUGGUAGGGUUGGUCUUGGUUUUGAGUGGUUUCUAGUGUUCUUGAGUGGGUUUGAGUGGAUUUUGAGGGUUUCUAACUGUAGGUUAUAUAGACAAAUGGUUAGGGGAAUGAAACGUCCAAGGUUCAAACCUAAGGUCUGAACCUGUUUGUGCUCGGUCCAUCCGUCCACUGACCACUAAAGACCCAUCCAAGCCAGGCCAAGUUCACAAGCACGCAUCCCCUCUCAUCCUUACAUCUGAUCAUGGGCACAACCUCCCGACCCCUCCGAAAACCAACACAGCCACACAAUGGCCCCAAACAUUUCUCAACCACAUGAAUCAUGUUCCAAUGAGCAGGUGGGAAUUUUCUUGACUCAAAGUUGUCCUGAGGGCAGAAAUGUUUGUGAUUGGUUCAAUCUGACAACCAAUCGCAAGAGGGGAGAGAAUUGCAGAGGCGGGGCCACCAUUUCCAAUCUCAACCGUCAAAAAAUCCCUCCGCGGUGCGCAGGCAAGAGGAACUGGUGGUUAUUAUUUCAAAGGAAACUUAACCAAGCCAAAUGAACAACUUAGAAACACUGAAGUCCCAAGGACUUCAUAGUGAAGAUGUCCUUGGGACAAUUGGGCCUUUCAAAAUCUUUCUGGGUAGUUUGGAGGCCCUUUUAGGCCCAUUUGAACUUCCAGAUGAGGUAAU